UAUUGGUCAAUGGACGCAAGUCUGAACCAGCCAUGCCGCGUGCAGGAAGACGGCUCUAUGAGUUGUAAACUGCUUUUGUAUUAGGGUAAACUCAGGUACGUGUACAUGACUGAAAGUAUAAUACGAAUAAGGAUCGGCUAACUCCGCGCCAGCAGCCGCGGUAAUACGGCGGAUGCAAGCGUUAACCGGAUUUAUUGGGUUUAAAGGGGUCGUAGGCGGUUUGAUAAGUUAGAGGUGAAAUACCGGGGCUUAACUCCGGAACUGCCUCUAAUACUGUUGAACUAGAGAGUAGUUGCGGUAGGCGGAAUGUAUGGUGUAGCGGUGAAAUGCUUAGAGAUCAUACAGAACACCGAUUGCGAAGGCAGCUUACCAAACUAUAUCUGACGUUGAGGCACGAAAGCGUGGGGAGCAAACAGG
rnacentral:rRNA from 1 species